UGUGCUCACCGGGACUGACCCCACUUCCACUUUGCCGCAGCUCCGGGCUAGCCGGACGCAGCGACUGAGCAUAUACGAGAAGGGGGGGCAGCCGAUGCAGGGAGAGCCAGUCUGGGCCAGGGCAGAUAAGCAAAACAAGUUUGUGCCCCUUCCAAUCCUGCUGCAUUCUCCCUGCCAGUUCUACAGGUUUUAGGGCUUGUUUUUGGCGGUCAACCGAGAGGGCUAAGGCCAUCUGACUGUGACAGUGUGAUGCUGCAAACACAUGCACGGACUCAAGUACACAUGUAUUUGGACACAAACACGCACACUUUGUUGUGAUUGGAAUUGGGAAUGUGGAGAUUUUAUGAGGGACAGUGGGAGAGCUGUUUGCUUUAAGGACACACCACCACCAGUGGCCUGUGUGUGUGUGUGUGUGUGUGUGUGUGUGUGUGUGUGUGUGUGUGUGUGUGUGUGUGUGUGUGUUACCAGCAUUAAGCAUGUUCAUCAUGUAUAAAAUGUUUUUCUUUAGACCAGUUGUGGAGCAAAGAGGAUCCAAUUUAUAUUCUCAAAUGAAUACAGUGGCCUGGUAUACAGGCAGCUGUUUUACUGAAUAUAUAUCAUCCUAUAUGUCCUCAGCUGGUCAUUGCUGUAUCUUAAUCUAGAGGGAGAGAGGGGAGAGAGAGGGUAGAGAUCGAGAGAGAUAAGGAGUGAGAGGAGGGAAGUCAUUCUUUGCCUCCUUUUGUUAUCCAGUUACACCUCGACUCAGAGAUCAGAUUGCAUGUGCAUUUGCAGCCAGCCACACACAUACACAAACAUGCAUACCGUCACACGCACACACAUCUAUAAUGAAGCACUGGAGACGGAACGAUUGAGUAACACUGUUUUGAAAUCAGCAUGUGAUGGAGAGUUCAUUGUCAUUAUGUUAGUGUGGUUUAUGUGUCAAAAGGCCAAAAUGAAAGAGUGUGUGUGUGUGUGUGUGUGUGUGUGUGUGUGUGUGUGUGUGUGUGUGUGUGUGUGUGUGUGUGUGUGUGUGUGUGUGUGUGUGUGUGUGUGUGUGUG